rnacentral:rRNA from 1 species
AUUGAACGCUGCCGGCAUGCCUUACACAUGCAAGUCGAACGGUAACAGGUUAAGCUGACGAGUGGCGAACGGGUGAGUAAUACAUCGGAACGUGCCCAGUAGUGGGGGAUAGCCCGGCGAAAGCCGGAUUAAUACCGCAUACGACCUAAGGGUGAAAGGGGGGGAUCGCAAGACCUCUCGCUAUUGGAGCGGCCGAUGUCAGAUUAGGUAGUUGGUGGGGUAAAGGCCCACCAAGCCGACGAUCUGUAGCUGGUCUGAGAGGACGACCAGCCACACUGGGACUGAGACACGGCCCAGACUCCUACGGGAGGCAGCAGUGGGGAAUUUUGGACAAUGGGCGCAAGCCUGAUCCAGCCAUGCCGCGUGCGGGAAGAAGGCCUUCGGGUUGUAAACCGCUUUUGACAGGGAAGAAAUCCUUUGGGUUAAUACCUCGGGGGGAUGACGGUACCUGAAGAAUAAGCACCGGCUAACUACGUGCCAGCCGCCGCCGUAACAC